GGGAUCUGCUGGAGCACAAAAGCACCUCCAUAGCAGAUUCAUCAGCAGAAUGAACAGGGCUGCAUUUUCAGACAGAGUGUUUAGGUUGGAAGCAUCUGAGAUCCUGUGGGUGUCUGGCAGUCAGGAAGAACACGGUGGAUAAAGGUUAGGUCUCCUGGCACUGCCUCCCCACAUUUAUUUGAGAGUGGAGCUGUUGGAG